rnacentral:sRNA from 1 species
CACAAUAUUAUUAUAUUUGUAAGAUGCUCCCAACCCAAUGAUAAUUAAGUCGUUAAGCCACAUCACAAGGAGGCAAACAAACAUAAUAAAAUAGAAUUGUCUUAUUACUCCGAAUUCCAUUACCUAAACCCCCCCAAAAAAUACAAACCACCCACCAAGGAGCACCAGCCAAAUUGCAAUUCCCACCGCAUUUAUCUCCUCCAUUGUCAUCAUCAUCAACCACCAGUUAUUCCUCAAACUAUUACUUGCGCUCGUCUUGCUGCCACGACUGCCCUCCAAAACUUCCCGGACCCUAACACACAGCAACCUCAUCUCUGUCAGCUGUCUCUUCAUAAUCACAGGGCCCACGAGAACCUUUGGAUCGACAGAGUAUCCCAUCAUGAAGAUGGGUUGUAUGCGGGUAAGAGCGGCAUCGUAGGCCGAGUAGUCUGUAGGAAGGGCCCUUUCUUUUGUUGCUGGAGAGUUGCGUUGACUAUUUGGGGGGAAAAGACUUGAGAGAAACCAACUCACCCUGCCACGACGUCCCGGGAAGCCCCCCACAUGGCGACGAACGAUAAUUACCCUGAUUCAUAUCCUCAACCUUGCGCGCAAAAAUCUCUUUCAUCUUCUCAAUCUCCGCCCUUGGGAAAAUAUUCCGACAGUCUCCCGGAUCAUUCUGAUUAACAGUGACCAUCUUCAAGAGCAAGACACACACGUUCCGCUGAUGCGUCGGGCCAUAGAUAUCCACGUCGAGAGGUAUGUCUAGCGUGAAGACCUGAUUCGUGGCGUGUAAGCUGCCAUAGCCGCUCUCAAACCGAACUUCCAUGACGCUAGUUGUCCAUGUCCAGUUUUUGAGCGCUUCUGUUGAUGUUCCAUGACUGUUUUUACGUCUGAGGAGGGCGCGGUCGUCUAAGUGCAUGCCUUCGAAAGAAAAUACACCGGUGGCAUUGGGGUGGGAGGCUGCUUUUAAAUAUUCGGACCCCGGGGGACAGCAUCCAAUGCGUAUGUUGGUGAAGACAUGAUCGUCCUUCUUUGCGGUAGCGUGCGUGACGAGGUAUGAUGUGGAGAGGAAUGGGAGGAGGAGCGUGGUUGAUGAUGGUAAUUUCAUGCCUUUUGACGUGGAUAUAUGAUAUGACUAUUCGAAGGUGAAAAUGAGGGGGCGGAAUAGGCGAAAUGUUUUCAAUUGAUUAAGGUGAAUUAGAAGCCGAAUCAAAACAAUGGAGGCAUAAUAAUACGUGGUUCGCACACAGAAGAAAAAGCAACUCUCACAAAAUAGUUUUAAGGGCCUUCGCAGAUGUCUCGACCUUCUUGCAGGAUUUUUGCAGAGAAUAGGGUGCAUGCUUGAUGAACAAAUCGUACUUUUUCUCUCUCAAAACUAAAAUAUGGUAGGAUUAAAAAGUAAGUGGA